rnacentral:rRNA from 1 species
AGAACGAACGCUGGCGGCAUGCCUAAUACAUGCAAGUCGAACGAAGGCUUCGGCCUUAGUGGCGCACGGGUGCGUAACGCGUGGGGAAUCUGCCCCUUGGUUCGGAAUAACAGUUGGAAACGACUGCUAAUACCGGAUGAUGACGAAAGUCCAAAGAUUUAUCGCCAAGGGAUGAGCCCGCGUAGGAUUAGCUAGUUGGUGAGGUAAAGGCUCACCAAGGCGACGAUCCUUAGCUGGUCUGAGAGGACGAUCAGCCACACUGGGACUGAGACACGGCCCAGACUCCUACGGGAGGCAGCAGUAGGGAAUAUGGACAGUGGGCGAAAGCCUGAUCCAGCAAGUGCCGCGGUGAGUGAUGAAGGCCGUUAGGUAGUAAGCUACGUUUACCGAG